rnacentral:rRNA from 1 species
ACUACGGGGGGCAGCAGUGAGGAAUAUUGGUCAAUGGACGAGAGUCUGAACCAGCCAAGUAGCGUGAAGGAUGACGGCCCUAUGGGUUGUAAACUUCUUUUAUAUGGGAAUAAAACGUUCCACGUGUGGGAUUUUGUAUGUACCAUAUGAAUAAGGAUCGGCUAACUCCGUGCCAGCAGCCGCGGUAAUACGGCGGAUCUGAGCGUGUUCCUGAUUUAUUUGGGUUAAAGGGAGCGUAGGUGGAUUGUUAAGUCAGUUGUUAAAGUUUGCGGCUCAAACGUAAAAUUGCAGUUGAAACUGGCAGUCUUGAGUAGAGGAGAGGUGGGCGGAAUUCGUGGUGUAGCGGUGAAAUGCUUAGAUAUCACGAAGAACUCCGAUUGCGAAGGCAGUUCACUGGACUGCAACUGACGCUGAGGCUCGAAAGUGUGGGUAUCAAACAGGAUUAGAUACCCGAGUAGUC